AAGUGGAACUAGUUUGAUGAUGCCAGGAAACCAUUUGAAACCCUUAUCUCAACUCUCCCAGCCCCAAAGAAUCCUGAUUCUAAUUAAAUGAACAAGUGAGAUCUCUGACAUAAAAGACAAAAGAAAAAUAUGUUAGGCAGUUUUACAGAUAAUUGAGGUCAAUUAGUUGAGAGGUUAAUCCAUUUGUUCAAGGCUGAAAACUAGUCAUCUAAAAAAAAUUCAAUAGGUUAUGGGGUUGUAGAAAUUGAAUUCUUUCUAGAAUUUAAAAACUAAUUUCAAUUGUGUUAUUGUGUUCAAAGUAAAAUAUACUUCUAUAGCCAGUAGAAAGUCUAAUGUUAAGUCACCUGAUAUCUAAAAUGUUUUAAUUAACUUGCAUGCACCUAGCUGAUUGAAAUUGAAAUUACACUCAGAUUUAUAAAAUGGCCAUUUUUUACAAGCAGCAUCAUAAAGCAAACGGAAGUUAUAGAAAGGUUAUAAAACAAACAACAUUAUAAAUUAGCUUUACAAAAAUCUCCUUUCUAAAACCUAUUAGCCAAACAAUGUUUUUCAAUCCCAAGCAAUAAAAGGCACUGUCAAAAGCACAAUCUUUGGCUCCUUCUGGUACAAAGUUUAUCACUACCACUGCACUAGAACUGCACAGACCCAAUCACCAAGAACCAGAGCUAAAGGGCCCCACCCUCAGCCAAUUUUAAUCAUCUUUUUCCAGGAAAAAAAAUGCUUAUAAAUCUAACACUCAUCUGAACCAACCAUCCCCCCGAACUGUCUAGUUUUUAAUUAAUUUAGUGGUAGUUGGGAUUGAACACAGUACCUCACUCAUACUGAGCUACACUAAGUCUUUAAACUAAUUUUAUAACUGAAGUAAUAAUACAUUUAAAAAUUACUAGGCAAGUCAUAGCACACUUGCCUAUUAAGUACAAUUAAAUAAAAAUUCAGAAUUUAAAUAAGAUCAUCUGCAAGAACAUAUAUUAAUGUGCAAUUAUGACCAUGCAUAAUUAUAUCCUAAUGUUAUUUUUUAAUUAGUUUUAUUCAUUUAUUGUUUAUGUGGUACAAAAGAAUUGAACCCAGGGACUCAUGCAUGCUAGGCAAGCACUUUACCACUAAGCCACAUUCCUAGCCCCCCUAAAAAAAGUCAUUUCUAACUCAACCCAGACACAAAGUUAAGAGUAUAAUAGAAGAAAUAAAAAGAAAGUAACAAGAAAUUUCCAUUUUAAUCUCAACUCUACAUCUAAAGACCCAAAAAGUUGAGGGUUUUUCUUUUUU